GUGCAUGAGGCCCUCAGGUGCUGCUAGGAGAACCCAUGGAGCCAGACGCCGCGCCCCUUCACUCCUCCUCGCCACCUCCACCAAACGAUGCCGGCGAGGAGGAGGCGGGAUCACCGGAGCAGGACGAGGAGUUCGGGGGGUUCUCCGUCGUGGUGUCCUGCUCUCAUCCCGUCUAUGCCGAUCCCACUGAUUCACCGUCCACGCUCAGGCAGCCGUGUGCCACCUCAAAGCCAGCCGCCCGCCAGCCCAACGGGGGCCUUAAUCUCCCAGUUGAACAGUCCCAACCCAGGUGCUCCGUGGAGCGGAGGGAUUGUAAUGCAGCCCCCCCGCGUGCACCUCACAAACGGGUUCUUUGGCGGAGACCCCGGCUCUGGGACUCACCCAGCCCCUGCGGUGGGCGGAUGCCCUCCCCGAGAAGAAACCGGGUUUGCCGAUUUCACCGUGUUUGCAGAGCAGGCGGCGCAUCCCUGGUGCUGUGGCUUCAGUCCCGCGGGGGGCAAAGAGCGCUGGGACGUCCGCGUGCGGCGCUCCACCAGCGGUGCUGCCCACGCGAUCGGAGGUCCAGUUUGCACAAAGGUCGAGCACUGUGAGAGAAGAGGUGCAGCACUCGAUGGAGCGCCUCAGGAAGCUGCAGCAGUAGACUUUCCCCUCGAAGAGCUUCACCCUGCGUUGUGGGACGGGAGGGACAGUUUCAGUUCUUCACACUCCGCAGAGAUGGACGGCGGGAGAGAAACGAGCAUCUCCGCCCUCCCCCGAACGCUCGGCGUGUACGCGUCCGCUUCAGAGGACGUGGCGUCCGUCUCUGACGAUCUGUCCUUUGAGUGUCCUUCGGCGGACUUGGAACCGAACGUCUCGUCUCUCUUUUGCCAAGAGGACCAGACCGAUUGGGACCAGACCGACGACGACGGAGACGAGCUGGAAGACUACGGGCGCUGUGACCUCCCCGACAGCAUGGCGCCUCUCCGACAGUCUGAGGGCGUGAGCGGCUUUCAUCACUGUGACACGUCCGCAACUCAGGAAACCUGCGCUACCUCCAAGCCGUCUCCACCUUCAGACCGCGGCUCUGAGCACCGCGGGGACGCGGGGUGUCUCCGUCCGGGAAACCUCCCGCUGAGCGACAGUUUCGCAGAUUUCUGCUCGGCGCCCACGCGGGAGGAUGGAGAGGGGUCGUGGGCGGAGUUCAAGGACCAGAGGCCUCUGGAGGAGAACCCUGGGACGCGGUCCAGAGAGCCAGGCAGCAUCCUGCAGGACGGGGAGGGGGGCUGCGGGAGGAACAGCUGUCAGGCGUCACUGUCCUGCCGGAUCCAGCAGCUUCUCCUGGCCAGUUUUCCGGAGGUAGAGGUCCCAGCUGUGGAAGGCGAGGAGGAGGUGCUCGCCCUCUGCGCUCUGCUUCACGCCCAACUCCUCCCUGAGGAGGAGGAGAUGAAGAAGAUACCUGAAUUCUGCCCCACAUACCAGUGGACUCGGCGGCGGGUGUGGCGUCCUCAUCAGGACCUCCACGAUGCAGUCGGCCUCCGCUUUCAGUGGGGGGGGUUCCCACACCCACAGGACGCUGCUCAGGUGCCUCGAUGUGGAGACGAGGAACAUCGGACUGCUGGAGCCCACCAAAGACUGUCCGGGCCCCGCGGGGGGAUCCUCCCCGGCGCCUCCAGAGCCCUCAACAGAUCCAACGCAGAUGUUGCCUCUUCUCUCCGUGUAGGAGGACCUUCCUCCCACCCAGCUGGCCUGGAGCAGCCGUGGCCUUAGCAGCUCCCUGGACG
ensembl:lncRNA